rnacentral:rRNA from 1 species
AUACGAAGGGGGCAAGCGUUGUUCGGAAUAACUGGGCGUAAAGCGCACGUAGGCGGAAUGUUAAGUUAGAGGUGAAAUCCCAGGGCUCAACCCUGGAACUGCCUUUAAUACUGGCAAUCUAGAGACCGAGAGAGGUGAGUGGAAUUCCGAGUGUAGAGGUGAAAUUCGUAGAUAUUUGGAGGAACACCAGUGGCGAAGGCGGCUCACUGGCUCGGUACUGACGCUGAGGUGCGAAAGCGUGGGGAGCAAACAGGAUUAGAAACCCUUGUAGUCC